AGCGCAGGUGGUUGUAUAAGUCUGAAGUAAAAGGCAGUGGCUCAACCAUUGUGUGCUUUGGAAACUGUACAACUUGAGUGCAGAAGGGGAGAGUGGAAUUCCAUGUGUAGCGGUGAAAUGCGUAGAUAUAUGGAGGAACACCGGUGGCGAAAGCGGCUCUCUGGUCUGUAACUGACACUGAGGCUGAAAGCUGGGGAGCAAACA
rnacentral:rRNA from 1 species